CUACGGGGGGCUCCAGUGGGGAAUAUUGGACAAUGGGGGAAACCCUGAUCCAGCAAUGCCGCGUGUGUGAAGAAGGCCUGCGGGUUGUAAAGCACUUUCGGUUGGGAGGACUGCUUCUAGCACUAAUAUUGUUGGAAGUUGACGUUACCUUCAGAAGAAGCACCGGCUAACUCCGUGCGCAGCAGCCGCGAGUGAAUACGGAGGGUGCAAGCGUUAAUCGGAAUUACUGGGCGUAAAGCGCGCGUAGGCGGCUAGAUCAGUCGGGUGUGAAAGCCCCGGGCUUAACCUGGGAACUGCAUCCGAUACUUUCUAGCUUGAGUACAGGAGAGGAGAGUGGAAUUCCACAUGUAGCGGUGAAAUGCGUAGAUAUGUGGAGGAACACCAAUGGCGAAGGCAGCUCUCUGGCCUGAUACUGACGCUGAGGUGCGAAAGCGUGGGGAGCAAACAGGAUUAGAUACCCCCGUAGUC
rnacentral:rRNA from 1 species